rnacentral:rRNA from 1 species
CCUACGGGUGGCAGCAGUAGGGAAUUUUCGUCAAUGGGCGCAAGCCUGAACGAGCGAUGCCGCGUGAGUGAAGAAGGCCUUCGGGUCGUAAAGCUCUGUUGCGGGGGAAAAAAGGCAGCAUCAGGAAAUGGUUGCUGACUGAUGGUACCCCGCCAGAAAGUCACGGCUAACUACGUGCCAGCAGCCGCGGUAAUACGUAGGUGGCGAGCGUUAACCGGAAUGAUUGGGCGUAAAGGGGGCGCAGGCGGUCCUGCACGUCUGGAGUGAAACGCAUGAGCUCAACGCAUGAAUGGCUUUGGAAACUGGAGGACUGGAGAGAAGGAGAGGGCGGUGGAACGCCAUGUGUAGCGGUAAAAUGCGUAGAUAUAUGGAAGAACACCAGUGGCGAAGGCGGCCGCCUGGACUGUGGCUGACGCUGAGGCACGAAAGCGUGGGGAGCAAAUAGGAUUAGAUACCCUUGUAGUC